UACGUAGGGUGCGAGCGUUGUCCGGAAUUACUGGGCGUAAAGAGCUCGUAGGUGGUUUGUCGCGUUGUUCGUGAAAACUCACAGCUUAACUGUGGGCGUGCGGGCGAUACGGGCAGACUGGAGUACUGCAGGGGAGACUGGAAUUCCUGGUGUAGCGGUGGAAUGCGCAGAUAUCAGGAGGAACACCAAUAGCGAAGGCAGCUCGCUGGGACGUUACUGACACUGAGGCGCGAAAGCGUGGGGAGCGAACAGG
rnacentral:rRNA from 1 species